GACGAACGCUGGCGGCGUGCUUAACACAUGCAAGUCGAACGGAAAGGCCCUGCUUUUGUGGGGUUCUCGAGUGGCGAACGGGUGAGUAACACGUGAGUAACCUGCCCCUGACUUUGGGAUAACUUCAGGAAACUGGGGCUAAUACCGGAUAGGAUCUCCUGCUGCAUGGUGGGGGUUGGAAAGUUUCGGCGGUUGGGGAUGGACUCGCGGCUUAUCAGCUUGUUGGUGGGGUAGUGGCUUACCAAGGCUUUGACGGGUAGCCGGCCUGAGAGGGUGACCGGCCACAUUGGGACUGAGAUACGGCCCAGACUCCUACGGGAGGCAGCAGUGGGGAAUAUUGCACAAUGGGGGGAAGCCUGAUGCAGCAACGCCGCGUGCGGGAUGACGGCCUUCGGGUUGUAAACCGCUUUCGCCUGUGACGAAGCGUGAGUGACGGUAAUGGGUAAAGAAGCACCGGCUAACUACGUG
rnacentral:rRNA from 1 species